rnacentral:rRNA from 1 species
GACGAACGCUGGCGGCGUGCUUAACACAUGCAAGUCGAACGGAAAGGCCCUGCUUUUGUGGGGUGCUCGAGUGGCGAACGGGUGAGUAACACGUGAGUAACCUGCCCUUGACUUUGGGAUAACUUCAGGAAACUGGGGCUAAUACCGGAUAGGAGCUCCUGCUGCAUGGGGGGGGUUGGAAAGAUUCGGCGGUUGGGGAUGGACUCGCGGCUUAUCAGCUUGUUGGUGGGGUAGUGGCUUACCAAGGCUUUGACGGGUAGCCGGCCUGAGAGGGUGACCGGCCACAUUGGGACUGCGAUACGGCCCAGACUCCUACGGGAGGCAGCAGUGGGGAAUAUUGCACAAUGGGCGGAAGCCUGAUGCAGCAACGCCGCGUGCGGGAUGACGGCCUUCGGGUUGUAAACCGCUUUCGCCUGUGACGAAGCGUGAGUGACGGUAAUGGGUAAAGAAGCACCGGCUAACUACGUG